GAUGAAGAACGCAGCGAAAUGCGAUAAGUAGUGUGAAUUGCAGAAUUCAGUGAAUCAUCGAAUCUUUGAACGCACAUUGCGCCCUUUGGUAUUCCUUAGGGCAUGCCUGUUCGAGCGUCAUUUAAACCUUCAAGCUAAGCUUGGUGUUGGGUGACUGUCCGCUUCACUGCGGACUCGCCUCAAAAUUAUUGGCGGCCGGUACAUUGGCUUCGAGCGCAGCAGAAACGCGAACUCGGGCCCGUCGUAUUGGCUCCCAGAAGCUAUCUUCACAAUUUUGACCUCGGAUCAGGUAGGGAUACCCGCUGAACUUAAGCAUAUCAAUAAGCGGAGA
rnacentral:misc_RNA from 1 species